rnacentral:lncRNA from 10 species
CCUGAAGUAGGUGCAUCUGAGAAAAAGGGCAGAGACCUCCCCAAAGGUCAAACAGAAGCAAGGCAGCAGGCAGCAUUGCAGGGGAGGCAACUGCUGGGAAAGACACAGCAAGGAAGAGCUAUUAUGGGAUGCCUCUCUGUGAGAGAUGAGGUGGGGAUGGUCCAUGAAGAUGAAUGACUGCUUCCUAAGACACUGUGGCGAGGAGGCUGUGGAAAGAUGGCAGCAGCAGACUGUGGAGAGAAGUCAAUUCACUGGCAGCUUGGCACUUCCCCAGGUAAUCCAUUCUCAGAGUUUCUGUUCAAUCAAAAACUGUAGCUUCUUUGGUUUAGGAGUUUCCUGAGCCUGUCUCAGGGCAAUAACGCCUUCUGGGUUAACUGGAGACUUCGUCAGAGACAGAUGGGAGCUAACUCCAAAGAGUCAUCAUGAUAACUGCGGUUGUUCAGAUUCUUUAUUUCUGGGCAUCACAUAGAAUUUAGAUUGGGACUCCUUUUCUAUCUAACUGAGGGAUGGGAAUCAUAAUUGCAUAUUUAAUUUUGUCAUUAGA